GACGAACGCUGGCGGCGUGCUUAACACAUGCAAGUCGAACGGGAAGGCCCUGCUUUUGUGGGGGGCUCGAGUGGCGAACGGGUGAGUAACACGUGAGUAACCUGCCCUUGACUUUGGGAUAACUUCAGGAAACUGGGGCUAAUACCGGAUAGGAGCUCCUGCUGCCUGGUGGGGGUUGGAAAGUUUCGGCGGUUGGGGAUGGACUCGCGGCUUAUCAGCUUGUUGGUGGGGUAGUGGCUUACCAAGGCUUUGACGGGUAGCCGGCCUGAGAGGGUGACCGGCCACAUUGGGACUGAGAUACGGCCCAGACUCCUACGGGAGGCAGCAGUGGGGAAUAUUGCACAAUGGGCGGAAGCCUGAUGCAGCAACGCCGCGUGCGGGAUGACGGCCUUCGGGUUGUAAACCGCUUUCGCCUGUGACGAAGCGUGAGUGACGGUAAUGGGUAAAGAAGCACCGGCUAACUACGUG
rnacentral:rRNA from 1 species